rnacentral:lncRNA from 1 species
AAAUGCUUUGAUGAAUGUGAUGAAUAUUUUGAAAGAAAGUUUGAAUAUCUUAGUUGAUGUUGUGAAAAUGGUGAUGAUUUCAAAGAGUGUGGAUCAUGCAUGGCAUGGCAUGUAGUUGUGUCAUAGGGUGCCGUAAGGGCGAUUUACUCUGGUGCCGUAAGGGCGAUUUACUCUUGUGCCGAGAGGGCCAUUUAUUAUGUGCUGUAAGGGCGAUUUACUUUGGU